GACGUAGGGGGCAAGCGUUGUCCGGAUUUAUUGGGCGUAAAGAGCGUGUAGGCGGUUUGGUAGGUCCGCUGUGAAAACUCGAGGCUCAACCUCGAGACGCCGGUGGAAACCAUCAGACUAGAGUCCGGAAGAGGAGAGCGGAAUUCCUGGUGUAGCGGUGAAAUGCGCAGAUAUCAGGAAGAACACCCGUGGCUAAGGCGGCUCUCUAGUACGGUACUGACGCUGAGACGCGAAAGCGUGGGGAGCGAACAGG
rnacentral:rRNA from 1 species